rnacentral:tRNA from 1 species
GGCUUAGUUCAACGGUAGAACAUCGGUCUCCAAAACCGCCGAUGAGGGUUCGAUUCCUUCAGCC